rnacentral:rRNA from 1 species
UACGUAGGGUCCGAGCGUUGUCCGGAAUUACUGGGCGUAAAGAGCUCGUAGGUGGUUUGUCGCGUUGUUCGUGAAAACUCACAGCUUAACUGUGGGCGUGCGGGCGAUACGGGCAGACUGGAGUACUGCAGGGGAGACUGGAAUUCCUGGUGUAGCGGUGGAAUGCGCAGAUAUCGGGAGGAACACCGGUGGCGAAGGCGGGUCUCUGGGCAGUAACUGACGCUGAGGAGCGAAAGCGUGGGGAGCAAACAGG